rnacentral:rRNA from 1 species
CCAAUAGCGUAUAUUAAAGUUGUUGCAGUUAAAAAGCUCGUAGUUGAAUUUCGGGAUUAGUGCGCCGGUCGUGCCUUCGGUAUGUACUGGUGUUACUGGUUCCUACCUUCUGACGAACCGUCAUGUCAUUAAUUUGGUGUGGCGGGGAAUCAGGACUGUUACUUUGAAAAAAUUAGAGUGUUUAAAGCAGGCUCGCGCUUGAAUACAUUAGCAUGGAAUAAUGAGAUAGGACGUUCGAUCCUAUUUUGUUGGUUCCUAGGAUUGACGUAAUGAUUAAUAGGGAUAGUUGGGGGCAUUAGUAUUCAAUUGUCAGAGGUGAAAUUCUUGGAUUUAUUGAAGACUAACUACUGCGAAAGCAUUUGCCAAGGAUGUUUUCAUUAAUCAAGAACGAAAGUUAGGGGAUCGAAGACGAUCAGAUACCGUCGUAGUCUUAACCAUAAACUAUGCCGACUAGGGAUCGGAUGAUGUUAUUUUUAAUGACUCAUUCGGCGCCUUACG